CUGAGCAGUGGGGCUGGCUGGAAUAUUGAGAUUUAAUUUAGGGCCAUUUCCCUCCUAUCCUCACAAUGAAUUCGGCAGAGACUGUCAGAGGCCGUCCCCGUGUGAGGGAGAAGGGUGGCCCCCGAGCUUUUGUGUCCCCUGGAUCACACUGGCCUUCAUUUUCACCAGCCUCCUGUGACUUAAACCCCAGAAUUCUAGGAAGGAAAAAACAAAACAAAACAAAACAAAAAAAAAAAACAGUGAUAGCAAUUACCAACAUUACCAAAUGCCACAUAAGACUGGUUUUGUUGAGUGUUUAUAAAUGCCAAAUAUAAACCAAACAUAAGUUGUAGGAAAUAAACAUCAUUUUGAAUCAAUAAUCUGAAAGAUUUUAAACAUUAAAUAUUUAGAAAGCCCCAAAUGAAGCAAAUCAAAAUAUUUUUGAAGUUUCCUUUUCAGUGUCUGCAAAAUCAUAUUCUGGCAGAUUGUAACAUUUCAUCAGAAUCCUGAUCGGAAUCCAGAACCUUCCAUCAAGCCAACUCUGAUUGAACGGUUCACUUGUGGGGGUAAGUUUUAUUGUCGUAAGUGACCAUCCCUUAAAGUGGUCCAAGUUUCUUGGUUCCUUUUUCUUUAGCUUUUGAGCUCCGCGUAUGGAAGGAGGACCUUCCUGAUGGCAUGAUGGCACCAAGGCAGCUGUCCUUGGCUAAAACAGGGACCGAGAACCUCAUGCAGCAGGUGGCCCAGUCCAGCUGGAAGAUUCCAGAAGUCAGUCCUGGCAGCCCGGCCCUCGCCACCCAGAAUGGCCACGCUGAAUCUCAGCCUCUACCUCCCCACCAGCUGCUCCAGACGUCAUCUCAGGACGCACAUCGAACAUAAGAAACUCGUGCUUUGCAAAGGAAGGAGCCAGGGACGUGUGACGCUGACCCGCCGUGUGCUCCCCUUGUAAUUUGGGGCUUUUCCACGUGUAAGAGGAGAAGAGUGCCAGCUCCCCAUUUUACAGCCGAGGACACCUGGCUUAACGCGGCCGAGGAUCGUGGGGCGGGUGCGUGACCUCCGGCCUCUGACGCUCCCUGACGCUCAGAGAUGGGCAGGUGCUCUCCGUGCCAGCAGGUCAACCAGCUCUGGUCAUUCUACACCUCCUCGUUCAUUACUCUGCUUUCAAACUUCCUUGUGUUUUAUUUAAACGUGUUAAUUGCA